GGCGUGGUAGCUCAGCUGGUUAGAGCACAGCACUCAUAAUGCUGGGGUCGGUGGUUCAAGUCCACCUCACGCCACCA
rnacentral:tRNA from 2 species